GUGGUAAUAAAGGUCUGGCAGGAGGCUGUUGCUGGCCCAAUAAUGUGGCAUGUGCACGCCUCUAUAAAAGUCAGUUUUGAGUUACAUUUUCCUGUGCAUUUUUGUAGACACUUUGGAUUGAGGAACUGUGUUGGUUUCUUGCUGUGAAUAUCAAGGUGUCUAUGCUUUUUAAUCAAUACAAAGCAUGUAUCAGAAUGGUUAUUGAUAAUGAAUAAAGUUGAAUACAACUUUCAACAAUGGAUCUCUUGGCUCUCGCAUCGAUGAAGAACGCAGCGAAAUGCGAUAAGUAAUGUGAAUUGCAGAAUUCAGUGAAUCAUCGAAUCUUUGAACGCAUCUUGCGCUCCUUAGUAUUCUGAGGAGCAUGCCUGUUUGAGUGUCAUUAAAUUCUCAAAAUCCUCUCUGUUUGUGAGGCAUUUUGGACAUUGGGAGUUGCAGGUUUAUGAAGCCAGCUCUCCUCAAAUGAAUUAGCAGGGAAAUAUGGGAAUUUCUCCGUUGGUGUGAUAAACUGUUUACACCAUGAAAUGAAGUCCCUGUACAAUCUCUACUUUCUAAAGCAUUUCUGUCCUAGAGAUAGUAAUGGGCUGGUUUGGUUGACUUGACCUCAAAUCAGGUAGGGGUACCCGCUGAACUUAAGCAUAUCAAUAAGCGGAGGAAAAGAACUAACAAAGGAUUCCCUUAGUAACUGCGAGUGAAGUGGGAAAAGCUCAAAUUUAAAAUCUGACAGCCUUUAUGGUUGUCCGGAGUUGUAACCUAGAGAGUGCUACCUGUGCUGGACCGUGUACACAAGUUCCUCCGGAAGUAUAUAAGGGAUAAGCAGAGUCGUAAUAG
rnacentral:misc_RNA from 1 species